GAAGCCAUCUUCAGAUUUCAGGAAGUCUUGCUUUGUUGAUCAACGCUUCUCGCCUCCUAUCAGUGCAGUAAGGAGUCCAGCAGAUGGAGGGGAAGCAGAAAUUCCAGCAGGAAUUCAUUCUGCUGGUGGUGGUGAUGAUGACGUCAGGAGUCUUCCUACUUUCUCCCGUUGCCGGAAUACGUCAAUCCUUAGGUCACCGAAGCGUCUCCUUCUCUAACGAUACCUUGAUGGGCGCGUUCCUUACGGCUCCCAAUCUGACGUUUAGCCGUGAUAGUGCUACGCUUAUCAGAUUCGGAUUUGAUAACUGUAAAUGCCGAGCUGUCUGCUUCACCUUGGGCUCAGAGUGCAAAGCCUGGUCUUUCAUCGAAGCGGAGGGGGAGGCCUCGGAAUGCCGAACCAUCAACAGAGGUCCAGAGACAACCACCCUGAUCAACAUGACUAGUGCAACUUACUUCUUCAGAGACUCAAGUGUCGAAGGAUUUUACACUUGGGCACCAGACCACCUCCUUUACGUGGAGCUGGAGAAGCUUUAUCACUUUCAAGAUGCCAAAGAACAGUGUGCAAAGAUUCCAGGCCACAGGCUGACCAUCGCUCAUUCUAAUGAUACCUACGACUUCUUCAUUCACUACAAGUCACGCUACGCCGCCGGCCGUAUUUACUUCUGGGCAAACCUCAAGAAGACGGGCCCACAAGAAGCCCAGUGGGGAGACGGAACCAAUGUCACACAUCAGCCAAACUUCGUGGAUAUGAGUGGUGGACCCGGCGAGCAAUAUUUUUACGGUUCCAUCGGACAAUUUAUCCACGACAAUGCAGAUGGCGCUCUUGCAGUUCUUUGCCAAGCAAACCCUCUUGGAAUAGAGUGGUAAAGAAUACGACGAAACAAGUCGGGGUGAAUACAAGCAGAGAAGUUCUGACCAAAUUGGAGGAUGAGACCUUCGCAUGAUAAAUGGGGUCCUACCUCAGGAAACACGAAACCAAUGGUUGAACAUUGGAUGUUGGUUGUACAAAAUGGACC